rnacentral:rRNA from 1 species
UCAAGUAAUUAAGUGCAUGUGGUGGAUGCCUUGGCAGUCAGAGGCGAUGAAAGACGUGAUAGCCUGCGAAAAGCUCCGGGGAGGCGGCAAAUAUCCUUUGAUCCGGAGAUGUCUGAAUGGGGGAACCCACCUACUUUAAGGUAGGUAUUGCAACAUGAAUACAUAGUGUUGCAAGGCGAACGAGGGGAAGUGAAACAUCUCAGUACCCUUAGGAAAAGAAAUCAAUUGAGAUUCCCUCAGUAGCGGCGAGCGAACGGGGAUCAGCCCAUUAAGUUAUGUGUGUUUUAGUGGAACGCUCUGGGAAGUGCGAACGUAGAGGGUGAUAUUCCCGUACACGAAAGGGCACACAUAAUGAUGACGAGUAGGGCGAGGCACGUGAAACCUUGUCUGAAUAUGGGGGGACCAUCCUCCAAGGCUAAAUACUCCUGACUGACCGAUAGUGAACCAGUACCGUGAGGGAAAGGCGAAAAGAACCCCUGUGAGGGGAGUGAAAUAGAUCCUGAAACCGCAUGCAUACAAGCAGUGGGAGCACCUUCGUGGUGUGACUGCGUACCUUUUGUAUAAUGGGUCAGCGACUUAUAUUCAGUAGCGAGGUUAACCGUAUAGGGGAGCCGUAGAGAAAUCGAGUCUUAAUAGGGCGUUUAGUUGCUGGGUAUAGACCCGAAACCAGGCGAUCUAUCCAUGAGCAGGUUGAAGGUUGGGUAACACUAACUGGAGGACCGAACCCACUGUCGUUGAAAAGCCAGGGGAUGACUUGUGGAUAGGGGUGAAAGGCUAAUCAAGCCUGGUGAUAGCUGGUUCUCCCCGAAAGCUAUUUAGGUAGCGCCUCGGACGAAUACCAUAGGGGGUAGAGCACUGUUUCGGCUAGGGGGUCAUCCCGACUUACCAAACCGAUGCAAACUCCGAAUACCUAUGAGUACUAUCCGGGAGACAGACUGCGGGUGCUAACGUCCGUAGUCAAGAGGAAAACAAUCCAGACCGCCAGCUAAGGCCCCAAAAUCAUAGUUAAGUGGGAAACGAUGUGGGAAGGCAUAGACAGCUAGGAGGUUGGCUUAGAAGCAGCCACCCUUUAAAGAAAGCGUAAUAGCUCACUAGUCGAGUCGGCCUGCGCGGAAGAUGUAACGGGGCUAAAACUAUGUGCCGAAGCUGCGGAUGUAUACUUUGUAUACGUGGUAGGGGAGCGUUCUGUAAGCCGAUGAAGGUGUGUUGAGAAGCAUGCUGGAGGUAUCAGAAGUGCGAAUGCUGACGUGAGUAACGACAAAACGGGUGAAAAACCCGUUCGCCGAAAGACCAAGGGUUCCAGUCCAACGUUAAUCGGGGCUGGGUGAGUCGACCCCUAAGGCGAGGCCGAAAGGCGUAGUCGAUGGGAAAAUGGUUAAUAUUCCAUUACUUCUGUGUAAUGCGAUGAGAGGACGGAGAAGGCUAAAUCAGCCUGGCGUUGGUUGUCCAGGUGAAAGGAUGUAGGCAUGUAUCUUAGGCAAAUCCGGGGUACUCUAUGCUGAGAUCUGAUAGCAAGCUGUACUUGUACAGCGAAGUGGUUGAUGCCAUGCUUCCAGGAAAAGUCUCUAAGCUUCAGUUACACAGGAAUCGUACCCGAAACCGACACAGGUGGUCAGGUCGAGUAGACCAAGGCGCUUGAGAGAACUCUGCUGAAGGAACUAGGCAAAAUGGUACCGUAACUUCGGGAGAAGGUACGCUGUUGUUGGUGAUGGAACUCGCUUCCUGAGCUGACGACAGCCGCAGAAACCAGGCCGCUGCAACUGUUUAUUAAAAACAUAGCACUCUGCAAACACGAAAGUGGACGUAUAGGGUGUGAUGCCUGCCCGGUGCUGGAAGGUUAAUUGAUGGGGUUAGCGUAAGCGAAGCUCUUGAUCGAAGCCCCAGUAAACGGCGGCCGUAACUAUAACGGUCCUAAGGUAGCGAAAUUCCUUGUCGGGUAAGUUCCGACCUGCACGAAUGGCAUAAUGAUGGCGGCGCUGUCUCCAGCAGAGGCUCAGUGAAAUCGAAAUCGCUGUGAAGAUGCAGUGUACCCGCGGCUAGACGGAAAGACCCCGUGAACCUUUACUGCAGCUUGACACUGAACUUUGACCUUACUUGUGUAGGAUAGGUGGGAGGCUUUGAAGCUGGAACGCUAGUUCCAGUGGAGCCGUCCUUGAAAUACCACCCUGGUAAUGUUGAGGUUCUAACUCUGUCCCGUGAUCCGGGACGAGGACCGUGUCUGGUGGGUAGUUUGACUGGGGCGGUCUCCUCCUAAAGAGUAACGGAGGAGUACGAAGGUGCGCUCAGCGUGGUCGGAAAUCACGCGUAGAGUAUAAAGGCAAAAGCGCGCUUAACUGCGAGACCCACAAGUCGAGCAGGUACGAAAGUAGGUCUUAGUGAUCCGGUGGUUCUGUAUGGAAGGGCCAUCGCUCAACGGAUAAAAGGUACUCUGGGGAUAACAGGCUGAUACCGCCCAAGAGUUCAUAUCGACGGCGGUGUUUGGCACCUCGAUGUCGGCUCAUCUCAUCCUGGGGCUGAAGCAGGUCCCAAGGGUAUGGCUGUUCGCCAUUUAAAGAGGUACGCGAGCUGGGUUUAGAACGUCGUGAGACAGUUCGGUCCCUAUCUACCGUGGGCGCUGGAAAUUUGAGAGGAUCUGCUCCUAGUACGAGAGGACCAGAGUGGACGAACCUCUGGUGUACCGGUUGUGACGCCAGUCGCAUCGCCGGGUAGCUAUGUUCGGAAGGGAUAACCGCUGAAAGCAUCUAAGCGGGAAGCCUACCUCAAGAUAAGAUUUCC